GGCUCCAUAGCUCAGUGGUCAGAGCGCUGGUCUUGUAAACCAGUGGUCGUGAGUUCAAAUCUCACUGGGGCCU
rnacentral:tRNA from 1 species